AACGAGCGCUGGCGGCAUGCCUAACACAUGCAAGUCGAACGAGACCUUCGGGUCUAGUGGCGCACGGGUGCGUAACGCGUGGGAACCUGCCCUUAGGUUCGGAAUAACUCCCCGAAAGGGGUGCUAAUACCGGAUAAUGUCUUCGGACCAAAGAUUUAUCGCCUUUGGAUGGGCCCGCGUUGGAUUAGCUAGUUGGUAGGGUAAAAGCCUACCAAGGCGACGAUCCAUAGCUGGUCUGAGAGGAUGAUCAGCCACACUGGGACUGAGACACGGCCCAGACUCCUACGGGAGGCAGCAGUGGGGAAUAUUGGACAAAGGGCGAAAGCCUGAUCCAGCAAUGCCGCGUGAGUGAUGAAGGCCUUAGGGUUGUAAAGCUCUUUUACCCGGGAUGAUAAUGACAGUACCGGGAGAAUAAGCUCCGGCUAACUCCGUG
rnacentral:rRNA from 1 species